rnacentral:rRNA from 1 species
UACGGGGGGGGCAAGCGUUGUUCGGAAUUACUGGGCGUAAAGGGCUCGUAGGCGGCCAACUAAGUCAGACGUGAAAUCCCUCGGCUUAACCGGGGAACUGCGUCUGAUACUGGAUGGCUUGAGUUUGGGAGAGGGAUGCGGAAUUCCAGGUGUAGCGGUGAAAUGCGUAGAUAUCUGGAGGAACACCGGUGGCGAAGGCGGCUCACUGGGACGUUACUGACGCUGAGACGCGAAAGCGUGGGGAGCAAACAGG